GACGAACGCUGGCGGCGUGCUUAACACAUGCCAGUCGAACGGUGAAGCGCCUUCCUUUUUGGUGGGUGUGGAUGAGUGGCGAACGGGUGAGUAACACGUGAGUAACCUGCCCCCUUCUUCUGGAUAACCGCAUGAAAGUGUGGCUAAUACGGGAUAUUCUGGGUCUGUCGCAUGAUGGGUCUGGGAAAGAUAUUGUUUCGGUGGGGGAUGGGCUCGCGGCCUAUCAGCUUGUUGGUGGGGUGAUGGCCUACCAAGGCGGUGACGGGUAGCCGGCCUGAGAGGGUGGACGGCCACACUGGGACUGAGACACGGCCCAGACUCCUACGGGAGGCAGCAGUGGGGAAUAGGGCACAAUGGGCGCAAGCCUGAUGCAGCGACGCCGCGUGAGGGAUGGAGGCCUGCGGGUUGUGAACCUCUUUCGCCAGUGAAGCAGGCCUGCCUCGUUUGUGGGUGGGUUGACGGUAGCUGGAUAAGAAGCGCCGGCUAACUACGUG
rnacentral:rRNA from 1 species